GAUGAAGAACGUAGCGAAAUGCGAUAAGUAAUGUGAAUUGCAGAAUUCAGUGAAUCAUCGAAUCUUUGAACGCACCUUGCACCCUUUGGUAUUCCGAAGGGUAUGCUCGUUUGAGUGUCAUUGUACUCUCACACUUCUAAUUCCUUUCGGGAUUUGGAGCGGUGGACUUGGGUGUUGCUGCUUUAGUUGUGGCUCACCUCAAAUAAGUUAGUGCAACUCUUGGUUGGACAUAGUACGGCGUGAUGAGUGUCUUCGCCGGCGCCUCUGUAAGGAGGGUGGCCGAUCGGGAGCUCUGUGCUUCAAACCGUCUUCGGACAAUCUUUGACAACUUGACCUCAAAUCGAGUAGGACUACCCGCUGAACUUAAGCAUAUCAAUAAGCGGAGGA
rnacentral:misc_RNA from 1 species